GACUGGUUUGUAAACUCUCUCUCUCCCUCAAAUGCAACAACCAUGAAAGUAGAAAACAAUCCACAAGGAAGAAACCAAAUGCUUUCCAGAACCACACAGGAGAAGAUGGAGGAAGCCUGGAGAGAAGAGGGCAGAAAUUUGAGAGGUCAAAGGAUGUCAGUCAGAGGCUGUGAUUGAACCGUUGCUUCCGGAAGAAACGUGAAUCACUCAACCAGAGGGGAUGUCAGAACAGUGUCAAUUCUCUGACCAUCUUCUUCAGAUGAUGCAGCAGGGCCUGGCUUCAAUAAUGAGCAGAUGAGAUGCUUUGGAACCGGUAAAGGCAAAACAUUACCAUUAAAUGCAACUUUCAAGGAGAAA